rnacentral:rRNA from 1 species
GGAGUUUGGGCCGUGUCUCAGUCCCAAUGUGGCCGUUCACCCUCUCAGGCCGGCUACUGAUCGUUGACUUGGUGGGCCGUUACCUCACCAACUAUCUAAUCAGACGCGGGUCCAUCGUAUGCCACCGGAGUUUUUACCCCUGUCUCAUGCGAGACUGUGGUCUUAUGCGGUAUUAGCAGUCAUUUCUAACUGUUAUCCCCCUGCAUACGGCAGGUUACCCACGCGUUACUCACCCGUCCGCCACUAAAAUGUAUAUCACUAGGUUUCAAUACAUUCCCGUUCGACUUGCAUGUGUUAAGCACGCCGCCAGCGUUCAUC